UCUCUCUCUCUCGCUCUCUGUCUACAAGUACCGGAAACUCCUUCCCAAGAAAGUUGCACCAGAACCCUUUGUCGUCGAUUGCUUGUGUCGUUGCACUGCACAUAACAUAUCGCUUCAGUUGGCUUUUAGCCAGCACACAUACAUUCUCGCUCUCUCUCCGCUUCUCUUGGAUCAUCGCCGUCGUCGUCAGUCUUUCGAGUAAAAGAAGAGAGAAAAUGGUCAAAGAGGGAGAUCAGAGCGUGACCCUCGAUCUUCUGAAGCAGAAGAUGGCCGAGUUCGCCAGGGAGAGAGACUGGGAUAAGUCUCACAGCCCCAGAAACCUCCUCUUGGCUCUGGUGGGUGAGGUCGGGGAGUUGUCGGAGAUAUUCCAGUGGAAAGGGGAGGUUCCGAAGGGACUUCCAGAUUGGAAUGAGGAGGAGAGAGUGCACUUGGGCGAGGAGCUCUCGGACGUGCUGCUUUAUCUGGUCAGACUCUCCGACAUCUGUGGCAUCGACUUAGGCCGAGCUGCCCUCCGCAAGGUCGAGCUCAACGCCCUCAAAUACCCUGUCUCUCUCUCCAAAUCGGCCUCCUCCAAGAAUCAAGAAGUUAUCAUUACCAAAACCCUUGUUGACAAUAGUGAUACUACUGGCACUGUUGUGGGCGAGAGUGGUUGAUCAUUUUGAGCUUCUUUUCUUUUUUAUCUUAAUAAUAGACUUUAUGUCACUUUCUCUUAAUGGAGUUAAAACUCUGUGUUUUCUAGUUUGCAUCCAACGCUGCAAGA